rnacentral:ncRNA from 1 species
AAGUUUUGUGUUGAAGUUGGAUAUCUUCCAAGGAUGGAGGAAGCUUCAAGCAUUGAUAGUUAUCAUACAUAUUCAUUAUCUAAAUUAUUUGACAAAGAAGAGAUUCUAACCAUGAGAGAUUUGAUGAAAGAGAUGUGUGAAGAUAGAAAUGUGAACAGGGGAAAAAGACUAAUCGAACCAUCUAGUAGUUGGUUUCCUCCGAAGUUUCCCUCAGGAUAGCUGGAGCUCAUGUGCGAGUUUUAUCGGGUAAAGAAAAUGAUUAGAAUCAUCGGGGGUGUAAUGCCCUCGACCUAUUCUCAAACUUUAAAUAGGUAAGAUGAUGCGACUGCUCCAUUGAGCCAUGCCAUGGAAUCGAGAGCUCCAAGUGGGCCAUUUUUGGUAAGAAGAACUGGCGAUGCGGGAUGAACCAAAAUUUGAGUUACGGUGCCAAACUGCAUGCUAACCCAGAUCCCACAAAGGGUGUUGGUUGAUUAAUACAACAGGAUGGUGGUCAUGGAAGUCAAAAUCCACUAAGGAGUAUGUAACAACUCACCUGCCGAAUCAACUAGCCCCGAAAAUGGAUGGCACUAAAGUGCGCAACCUAUACUCGACCAUCGGAGCAAUUG